AUUGAACGCUGGCGGCAGGCCUAACACAUGCAAGUCGAACGAGUGGCGGACGGGUGAGUAAUGUCUGGGAAACUGCCCGCUGUAGCGGGAUAACUCCUGGAAACGGUAGCUAAUACCGCAUACCAUCGGAUGUGCCCAGAUGGGAUUAGCUAGAAGGUGGGGUAACGGCUCCCCAAGGCGACGAUCCCUAGCUGGUCUGAGAGGAUGACCAGCCACACUGGAACUGAGACACGGUCCAGACUCCUACGGGAGGCAGCAGUGGGGAAUAUUGCACAAUGGGCGCAAGCCUGAUGCAGCCAUGCCGCGUGUAUGAAGAAGGCCUUCGGGUUGUAAAGUACUUUCAGCGAGGAGGCGUUACUCGCAGAAGAAGCACCGGCUAACUCCGUGCCAGCAGCCGCGGUAAUUC
rnacentral:rRNA from 1 species